rnacentral:rRNA from 1 species
GAUGAACGCUGGCGGCGUGCCUAAUACAUGCAAGUCGAGCGAACGGACGAGAAGCUUGCUUCUCUGAUGUUAGCGGCGGACGGGUGAGUAACACGUGGAUAACCUACCUAUAAGACUGGGAUAACUUCGGGAAACCGGAGCUAAUACCGGAUGAUAUUUUGAACCGCAUGGUUCAAAAGUGAAAGACGGUCUUGCUGUCACUUAUAGAUGGAUCCGCGCUGCAUUAGCUAGUUGGUAAGGUAACGGCUUACCAAGGCAACGAUGCAUAGCCGACCUGAGAGGGGGGGCCGCCCCCCCGGGAACUGAACCCGGGUCCAACCCCCUAGGGGAGGCGGAAGGAGGGAAUCUUCCGCAUGGGGGGAAAGCCUGACGGAGCACGGCCGGGGGAUUGAUAAAGUUCUUCGGAUCUAAAACCUCUUUUAUGGGGAAAAAACAUAUGUGUAAGUAACUUUCCACAUCUUGACGUUCCCUAAUAAGAAACCCCCGGCUACCUCCGUC